AGGAGCAGCAGCAGCAGGAGCAGCAGCAACUGCUGCUGCUCCUGCUGCUGCUGCU
rnacentral:miRNA from 1 species